UGAAUAUCUUCGGCUCUGCUGAUACCAACACUCACUUCUGAAGCCAACAAGCCGUCUGCUUAUAAAUACUGAAUCAACUGAGAAGCAGAAACCUGCAAAUUCACUGUCUGCAGAUAAAUGAGGCCAUUUCACCUUCCCUGGUACCUCACAGAUGCUGAUGACUUCAGUGAAGAUAGCAUUGUUGCAUAAUGUCCACAAAUCAUUGAUAAUAAAAAUAUAACCAAGAACAUGA